AUGGCUGGGGAAACGGACUUUCUCUCCUCCCUCCCCCGUCUUUCCCAUCUCGGCUUCCAAGGAUUAGGAAUUUGGCUUUUGGACAGUUUGUUCUUGGACGGCCAGAAGACCUCCCGACGCGACCCUUCAGGGACUGGCACACCAAGAGGUCGGAAAGGUGCGGGAUCCAACGUUUCACGCGCCGACGUCCUCCCGCGCCCGGCUCCUCUCAACCUCCCGCUCCUCCUUCCCUCAAUCCUCCCGCUCCCCUCCUCCUCCGUCCCCGCCCCGCUCCUGUCCUCUUAUUGGCCGAGCGGGCCGGCCGGGCCUCCCCGGGAUUUAAAGGGCCCGCUCUCCGCGCCGCCCUGGGAGCCGCAGCUGGUCCCGGCCUUGCGGCCUGCGGGGGAGGCUGCCCGGAGGAGGCGGCGACGGUGGCGGCGGCUGUACGUCCCCGGCCCCCUGGACCGCAGCUUUCUUACUGCCAGGUCUAUCCAUCUGUCUAUCCAUCCGUGGGGGUCCACAAUGGCCACCUUCAGCCGCCAGGAAUUUUUCCAGCAGCUGCUGCAGGGCUGUCUCCUGCCUACUGCCCAGCAGGGCCUUGACCAGAUCUGGCUGCUCCUUGCCAUCUGCCUCGCCUGCCGCCUCCUGUGGAGGCUUGGGUUGCCAUCCUACCUGAAGCAUGCAAGCACCGUGGCAGGCGGGUUCUUCAGCCUCUACCACUUCUUCCAGCUGCACAUGGUUUGGGUCGUGCUGCUAAGCCUCCUGUGCUACCUCGUGCUGUUCCUCUGCCGACAUUCCUCCCAUCGUGGCGUCUUCCUCUCCGUCACCAUCCUCAUCUACCUACUCAUGGGUGAGAUGCACAUGGUGGACACCGUGACAUGGCACAAGAUGAGAGGGGCCCAGAUGAUUGUGGCCAUGAAGGCGGUGUCUCUGGGCUUCGACCUGGACCGGGGUGAGGUGGGUGCAGUGCCCUCGCCCGUGGAGUUCAUGGGCUACCUCUACUUCGUGGGCACCAUCGUCUUUGGGCCCUGGAUAUCCUUCCACAGCUACCUACAGGCCGUCCAAGGCCGCCCGCUGAGCCGCCGAUGGCUGCAGAAGGUGGCCCGGAGUCUGGCGCUGGCCCUGCUGUGCCUUGUGCUGUCCACCUGUGUGGGCCCCUACCUCUUCCCGUACUUCAUCCCCCUUGAUGGUGACCGCGUCCUUCGCAACAAGAAACGCAAAGCCAGGGGCACCAUGGUAAGGUGGCUGCGAGCCUAUGAGAGCGCUGUCUCCUUCCACUUCAGCAACUAUUUUGUGGGCUUUCUGUCCGAGGCCACGGCCACGUUGGCGGGGGCUGGCUUCACCGAGGAGAAGGAUCACCUGGAAUGGGACCUGACGGUCUCUAAGCCACUGAACGUGGAGCUGCCCCGGUCCAUGGUGGAAGUUGUCACAAGCUGGAACCUGCCCAUGUCUUAUUGGCUAAAUAACUAUGUUUUCAAGAAUGCUCUCCGUCUGGGGACCUUCUCAGCUGUGCUGGUCACCUAUGCAGCCAGCGCCCUCCUGCACGGCUUCAGCUUCCACCUGGCUGCGGUGCUGCUGUCCCUGGCGUUUAUCACUUACGUGGAGCACGUCCUCCGAAAGCGCCUGGCUCGGAUCCUCAGUGCCUGCAUCUUGUCGAAACGGUGCCCACCAGACUGUUCACACCAGCAUCGCUUGGGCCUGGGGGUGCGAGCCUUAAACCUGCUCUUUGGGGCCCUGGCCAUCUUCCACCUGGCCUACCUGGGCUCCCUGUUCGAUGUUGAUGUGGACGACACCACAGAGGAGCAGGGAAUUCCCUGGCUGUCCAGUGGUUAGGACUCGGCGCUUUCACUGCGGGGGCCAGGGUUCAAUCCCUGGUUGGGGAACUAAGAUCCCUCAAGCCACGCGGCAUGACCAAAAAAAAAAAAGUUAAUGCAUAUCACGUGGUUGAAAAACCAAACAGUAUUCAAGAUAUUCAGGGGAAAGUCUUAUUCCUGCCGUCUUACCCCCACCCUCUUACAGGUAACACAUGAAUGACACUGUGCUGCAUGUUGCUUUUUUCACAUAAUUCCUGAAAACCUUCCACAUGAAGACAUAGAGUGUCCUCGUUCAUUUUUUCCAUUGUGACACAAUGUAGUUUGUCCCUUAUUGGUGGACACCCAGGUGAUUCCCACUCUUUUCCUAUGCAGUGUGUGAUCGUGCUUGACGCCCCGACAACAGAGUGCCUCUCAGACCUCAUGGAUAUGUUUGCCAGUUUGAGUGGAGGAAGAUGAUGAGUGAGGCUGAGUAUCUUUUCGUAUAUUUAAGAGCCAUUUGGGUUUUUUUUUUCCUUUACUGAAAAUGGCCUACUCACCUCCUUUGCUAAUUUUUGUCUUUUUAAAAAAUCAAUUUCUAGGAGCUCUUUAUAUAUAAGGGAGAGUGCAGGUCAGAGAGUGGGAUUGCCUUGUCUUGUUUUUUAAAUUUUUGAAAGAGAAGAAAAUACAAAAGAAAAAAACUAAAUCUGCUUACCUUUC